rnacentral:rRNA from 1 species
GACGAACGCUGGCGGCGUGCCUAAUACAUGCAAGUAGAACGCACAGUUUAUACCGUAGCUUGCUACACCAUAAACUGUGAGUUGCGAACGGGUGAGUAACGCGUAGGUAACCUGCCUGGUAGCGGGGGAUAACUAUUGGAAACGAUAGCUAAUACCGCAUAAUAUUGAUUAUUGCAUGAUAAUUGAUUGAAAGAUGCUAUUGCAUCACUACCAGAUGGACCUGCGUUGUAUUAGUUAGUAGGUGAGGUAACGGCUCACCUAGGCGACGAUACAUAGCCGACCUGAGAGGGUGAUCGGCCACACUGGGACUGAGACACGGCCCAGACUCCUACGGGAGGCAGCAGUAGGGAAUCUUCGGCAAUGGACGAAAGUCUGACCGAGCAACGCCGCGUGAGUGAAGAAGGUUUUCGGAUCGUAAAGCUCUGUUGUAAGAGAAGAACGGGUGUGAGAGUGGAAAGUUCACACUGUGACGGUAUCUUACCAGAAAGGGACGGCUAACUACGUG